rnacentral:rRNA from 1 species
GGAGUCUGGACCGUAUCUCAGUUCCAAUGUGGCCGAUCACCCUCUCAGGUCGGCUACCGAUCGUCGCCUUGGUGGGCUGUUAUCUCACCAACAAGCUAAUCAGACGCAUCCCCAUCCUUAACCGACAAAUUCUUUGGUCCGGGUCAGAUGCCCUCGCUGGACCACAUCGGGCAUUAAUCCGGUUUUCACCGGGCUAUUCCCAAGUUAAGGGAAGGUUGGAUACGCGUUACUCACCCGUGCGCCGGUCGCCAUCAGGAAUUGCAAGCAACUCCCAUGCUGCCCCUCGACUUGCAUGUGUUAAGCCUGUAGCUAGCGUUCAUC